CUGUUUGUGCUAAGGUGCAUCUAGUGCAGUGAGUGGAAUAGCUUAGAAUCUACUGCCCUGGAUGCGCCUUCUGGCACACGCA